GUAGCCAAACUGGCAUUUCAAUCUACAAUAAUUUUUUUUACCUUUCACACGGAAGGAACAUCACAAGCCCAAUCAGAGAGUCUUAUAAGACUUAAUGUGUUUGAUUGAAAAUUGAAAAAUCAAAGAGUUAAAUGUUAACGAGGUAGAAAGUUGUGAGAUAAUCACCCUUUGUUAAUUUCAUACCAAAUACUUCUAUGCAGCGAAGAAUUUGACAUCAUUUCCAAAAUUGUAGACUUUUUCUACUUUUAUGCGUAAUCAUUCAGCUCUCAUGACAAAUUUAUUAUCCCAAACAAAAUUUAUUAAAUUACACCUUAAUCAUUGAAUUGUAUUGCAAACUCCAAUUUCAAAAUUCACUCAAUAACAUCAGUAAAGUUGUAACAAUUUCAAUGCCAUAUUAUCAAUGGCACCUCUUUCACUCAUCACUUUUUCCAAUUAGUAAUUUGAUAAUAAUUUCAAAUGAUACAGAUUUUAUAUUUUUCUUGAGUUACAAACUAAAAACUACCCUUUUAACAAUUUAUCUAAGACCCUUUUAUGGUAUUUUUUUGGUAAUUAAUUUUUUUUAGAUGCAAUUGUAAAUUAGUUUUAUGUCAUUUCUUU
rnacentral:misc_RNA from 1 species